rnacentral:rRNA from 1 species
GACGAACGCUGGCGGCGUGCCUAAUACAUGCAAGUCGAGCGGACUGACUGGGAGCUUGCUCUUGUUCGGUCAGCGGCGGACGGGUGAGUAACACGUGGGCAACCUGCCCGCAAGACCGGGAUAACUCCGGGAAACCGGAGCUAAUACCGGAUAACACCGAAGACCGCAUGGUCUUUGGUUGAAAGGCGGCGCAAGCUGCCACUUGCGGAUGGGCCCGCGGCGCAUUAGCUAGUUGGUGAGGUAACGGCUCACCAAGGCGACGAUGCGUAGCCGGCCUGAGAGGGUGACCGGCCACACUGGGACUGAGACACGGCCCAGACUCCUACGGGAGGCAGCAGUAGGGAAUCUUCCGCAAUGGGCGAAAGCCUGACGGAGAGACGCCGCGUGAGCGAAGAAGGCCUUCGGGUCGUAAAGCUCUGUUGUGAGGGACGAAGGAGCGCCGUUUGAAGAAGGCGGCGCGGUGACGGUACCUCACGAGGAAGCCCCGGCUAACUACGUG